AGUGGCGAACGGGUGAGUAAUGCAUCGGAACGUGCCAUUGAGUGGGGGAUAACGUAGCGAAAGUUGCGCUAAUACCGCAUAUUCUGUGAGCAGGAAAGCAGGGACCGCAAGGCCUUGCGCUCUUUGAGCGGCCGAUGUCAGAUUAGCUAGUUGGUGAGGUAACGGCUUACCAAGGCGACGAUCUGUAGCGGGGUCUGAGAGGAUGAUCGCCACACUGGAACUGAGACACGGUCCAGACUCCUACGGGAGGCAGCAGUGGGGAAUUUUGGACAAUGGGGCAACCCUGAUCCAGCCAUGCCGCGUGAGUGAAGAAGGCCUUCGGGUUGUAAAGCUCUUUCGGCCGGGAAGAAAUCGCAUGGGUUAAUACCCUGUGUGGAUGACGGUACCGGCAUAAGAAGCACCGGCUAACUACGUG
rnacentral:rRNA from 1 species